GAUGAAGAACGUAGCGAAAUGCGAUACGUAAUGUGAAUUGCAGAAUUCAGUGAAUCAUCGAGUCUUUGAACGCACAUUGCGCCCCCUGGUAUUCCGGGGGGCAUGCCUGUCCGAGCGUCAUUGCUGCCCUCAAGCACGGCUUGUGUGUUGGGCCUCCGUCCUCCUCCCGGGGGACGGGCCCGAAAGGCAGCGGCGGCACCGCGUCCGGUCCUCGAGCGUAUGGGGCUUCGUCACCCGCUCUUGUAGGCCCGGCCGGCGCUUGCCGACACAUCAAUCUUUUUCCCAGGUUGACCUCGGAUCAGGUAGGGAUACCCGCUGAACUUAAGCAUAUCAAUAAGCGGAGGA
rnacentral:misc_RNA from 1 species